CAAGUUUUCACUUUCUUGAAUACUGUAACAUGCUAGCCUAUAAAAAUAUUGAUAAUUACAGACAACACCAUAAAUAAGCCGACUUAUAGAAGUAUUUUAAUUAAGAAUCAAAAAUGGAUACUUCGCAGUUAGAGGAAAGUACUUAUAAUCACCAUUCAGCAACUAAAACUCUUGAAGAAUUGAGGAAACAACUAGCAAAAAAUAAAGAAUUUUUGAAUAAAGUCAGCUUACAAUCACAUCUUUUAAAUGUGGAUUUGGUAACUCAGUUCAACCCAUAUAC